UACGUAGGGCGCGAGCGUUGUCCGGAAUUAUUGGGCGUAAAGAGCUCGUAGGCGGUUCGUCGCGUCGGCUGUGAAAACCCGGAGCUCAACUCCGGGCCUGCAGUCGAUACGGGCGGACUGGAGUUCGGCAGGGGAGACUGGAAUUCCUGGUGUAGCGGUGAAAUGCGCAGAUAUCAGGAGGAACACCGGUGGCGAAGGCGGGUCUCUGGGCCGAUACUGACGCUGAGGAGCGAAAGCGUGGGGAGCGAACAGG
rnacentral:rRNA from 1 species